AGAGUUUGAUCCUGGCUCAGGAUGAACGCUGGCGGCGUGCCUAACACAUGCAAGUCGAACGGUUAAACCGCCCUCGGGCGGACAUACAGUGGCGAACGGGUGAGUAACACGUGACCAACCUGCCCCGCGCUCCGGGACAACCGCUGGAAACGGCGGCUAAUACCGGAUACUCCGCGGCCCCCGCAUGGGGGCGGCGGGAAAGCCCCGACGGCGCGGGAUGGGGUCGCGGCCCAUUAGGUAGUAGGCGGGGUAAAGGCCCACCUAGCCGACGAUGGGUAGCCGGACUGAGAGGUCGAUCGGCCACAUUGGGACUGAGAUACGGCCCAGACUCCUACGGGAGGCAGCAGUGGGGAAUUUUGCGCAAUGGGGGAAACCCUGACGCAGCAACGCCGCGUGCGGGACGAAGGCCCUCGGGUCGUAAACCGCUUUCAGCAGGGAAGACCACGACGGUACCUGCAGAAGAAGCUCCGGCUAACUACGUGCCAGCAGCCGCGGUAAUACGUAGGGGGCGAGCGUUAUCCGGAUUCAUUGGGCGUAAAGCGCGCGUAGGCGGCCGCCUAAGCGGAACCUCUAACCCCGGGGCUCAACCUCGGGCCGGGUUCCGGACUGGGCGGCUCGAGUGCGGUAGAGGAGAGCGGAAUUCCCGGUGUAGCGGUGGAAUGCGCAGAUAUCGGGAAGAACACCGAUGGCGAAGGCAGCUCUCUGGGCCGUCACUGACGCUGAGGCGCGAAAGCUGGGGGGGCGAACAGGAUUAGAUACCCUGGUAGUCCCAGCCGUAAACGAUGGAUACUAGGUGUGGGGGGAUCCCCCCUCCGUGCCGCAGCCAACGCAUUAAGUAUCCCGCCUGGGGAGUACGGCCGCAAGGAUAAAACUCAAAGGAAUUGACGGGGGCCCGCACAAGCAGCGGAGCAUGUGGCUUAAUUCGAAGCAACGCGAAGAACCUUACCAGAGCUUGACAUGCGCCUGAAGCCGCGGAGACGCGGUGGCCGAGAGGAGGGCGCGCAGGUGGUGCAUGGCUGUCGUCAGCUCGUGUCGUGAGAUGUUGGGUUAAGUCCCGCAACGAGCGCAACCCCCGUCCCGUGUUGCCAGCAUUAGGUUGGGGACUCGCGGGAGACUGCCGGCGUCAAGCCGGAGGAAGGUGGGGACGACGUCAAGUCAUCAUGCCCCUUAUGCCCUGGGCUGCACACGUGCUACAAUGGCCGGUACAGAGGGUUGCCACCCCGCGAGGGGGAGCGGAUCCCGGAAAGCCGGCCCCAGUUCGGAUCGCAGGCUGCAACCCGCCUGCGUGAAGCCGGAGUUGCUAGUAAUCGCGGAUCAGCACGCCGCGGUGAAUACGUUCCCGGGCCUUGCACUCACCGCCCGUCA
rnacentral:rRNA from 1 species